UUCGGCUUAGAGUUUGAUCCUGGCUCAGAACCAACCGCUGGCGGCGUGCCUAACACAUGCAAGUCGUNCGAGAAAGUCUGCUUCGGCGGAUGAGUAAAGUGGCGCCCGGGUGAGUAACGCGUGGAUAAUCUGCCCUUUAGUUGGGGAUAACUCAUCGAAAGGUGGGCUAAUACCGAAUAAUACUGUUCCUUCUUCGGGAGGACAGUCAAAGGAGGCCUCUGUUUACAAGCUUUUGCUGGAGGAUGAGUCCGCGUACCAUUAGCUAGUUGGUAGGGUAAUGGCCUACCAAGGCGACGAUGGUUAGCUGGUCUGAGAGGAUGAUCAGCCACACUGGAACUGAGAUACGGUCCAGACUCCUACGGGAGGCAGCAGUGAGGAAUAUUGCGCAAUGGGGGAAACCCUGACGCAGCAACGCCGCGUGAGUGAGGAAGGUCUUCGGAUCGUAAAGCUCUGUCGGGUGGAAAGAAAUGUACGGGAGUUAAUAACUCUCAUACUUGACGGUACCGCCAA
rnacentral:rRNA from 1 species